rnacentral:rRNA from 1 species
GCGGCCACCAUGCAGUCGAACGGUANCACAGAGGAGCUUGCUCCUUGGGAUGACGAGUGGCGGACGGGNUGAGGAAUACAUCGGAAUCUACCCUGNUCGUGGGGGAUAACGUAGGGAAACUUACGCUAAUACCGCAUACGAACUGAGGUUGAAAGCGGCGGACCGCAAGGCGUCGCGCGAUUGGAUGAGCCGAUGUCCGAUUAGCUAGUUGGCGGGGUAAUGGCCCACCAAGGCGACGAUCGGUAGCUGGUCUGAGAGGAUGAUCAGCCACACUGGAACUGAGACACGGUCCAGACUCCUACGGGAGGCAGCAGUGGGGAAUAUUGGACAAUGGGCGCAAGCCUGAUCCAGCCAUGCCGCGUGUGUGAAGAAGGCCUUCGGGUUGUAAAGCACUUUUGUUGGGAAAGAAAUCCUGUCGGUUAAUACCCGGCGGGGCUGACGGUACCCAAAGAAUAAGCACCGGCUAACUUCGUGCCAGCAGCCGCGGUAAUACGAAGGGUGCAAGCGUUACUCGGAAUUACUGGGCGUAAAGCGUGCGUAGGUGGUUUGUUAAGUCAGAUGUGAAAGCCCCGGGCUCAACCUGGGAAUUGCAUUUGAUACUGGCAGACUAUAUUGCGGUAAAAGAGAGUCGGAAUUCCCGGUGUAUCAGUGAAAUGCAUAGAGAUCGGGAGGAACAUGCAUUUGGCGAAAGCGGCUCUUCUGGACCAUCACUG